UCGUGUCCCACUCCGCCUCGUUCUCCUCCCUCGACAGCGCCGCACCUCCUCCCUCAUUCCUGCUCGUCCGGAUAGCCGCCGGCCGCCGCAUCCCUUCUCCCCCUUCCUCCUCCUUCCUCCUUCCCGCUGGCGCUGACGAGGGGGCCUCUCGCAUGGACGGCCGGGGCUUCAAACCAGGGGGGGCCAAGAAAGCCGGCCGGCGGCGGUCGGGGCGGGCGCGGAGAGGGCCGAUGCGGCGGCCGCGGGCGGGGCGGUGGCGGCCAAGGCAAGGGAGGAUGAGGUUGCAUCCAUCGGCGGCCGAUCCACCUGCGUGCCGUCACUGCUCACAUCCUUCCCCUAAUUUAUUUGCUUUCUCGAUCUCCAGCAGCAGCAGCAGCAGCGUCUCCAUGGACGCGGCGGCGUGACGGCUUCCAGGCACGGAUCCCCUCCUCCGCCUCCAUCCUCCACCUCUCCGGUCGCCCGGUUGCAACGCAGCAGCAGCUCCUUCCUACCUUCCAUGGACGAACUCGACGGAGACGCCGUCCAGCCCGACCACGGCCACGACUACCCCACGCACAAGAAAGGUAGUUAUUGUGAAUUGAUGUUCGCACUGAGGCCGGAGGCGAGAGGCGAGGGCACGAAGGUCGACGGCAAGUGCUCAGGAGAGAAGAGGAAGGCGGCGGUGGCUGCGGUUUACACGAGAGCCAGGUGACCUGCCCAGAAAGGUAGUUACAGUGAAUUGAUGUUCAUAUGAACUUCAAUGCUGUGACGUUUUUAUUAGAUCUGAGUUGCAAUCCUCAAUUUUUUUAGGUUUGAGUAGCAAUGUUCCUGCUCUACUAGCUAUGACAUUUUCCAUGUUUUUUCUUCUAAUAUCGUAUUGCCUCCAUGCUUAUGGGUUCAACUUGACAAGCUUUUUUCAUCUUACAUCCUGUUUUAAGCUCUGUUGAUGGUUGAUUUCUGCCAUGUUUAUGGAGGGAGAGGACGCCAAGUACUAGGAGAAGGAUCAGUUUAGCAAGUAGAGGCUGUAAUUCUCUUAUGAUUAUGGAUCUGAGGAUGAAGAGAAGAUAUGGGUUAACUUUCGGAGUGAUUGAGUUGGUCAAAAAAAUUGAAGCACAUCAAAGGGGCUUGUUGCUUGGCUGCUAUGGAGAAGGGUAUUCUUUGAAGGAGUUGUAGACCUUUUGGAUAUGCUUCAAUUUGGACACUUUUUCAGUAUGUAUAUGAUAUGGGCAGGAAAUGAAAAACUUAAUGUGGCUGGAGUUCUACGCGGAUUAAAUCUAAUUAUCCUUAUAUUUCAACUCCAAUGACUCGGCCUCACAUGUAGAAUGCGGUUUUGGGCAUGUGUUUCGGUUCAUUCGGUUUCGACGGAAUCAAAGGUGUUAGCUUUCAUGGCUAGGAUUUUUUUAGCAUAUUCAAAUCUGUAUUAGAAUAAGGUUUCCCCCUUGGAUGUUCCUUAUGUAUCCAUAUAUUAGAUUUUUUGUGUGGUUCAUUUGUUGCAAAUAUAUAAAUAAUAAUCUGAUUGACUAUAUGCAGAUUUGGUUUGAAAUCUUCAAGCAGUCUCUGACAAGUUGUAGGUGAAGAAGAUCAUGUCCUAGGAGUUAUAUGCACGUGGAGUACAUUUAUUGUAUGCAUUUUGUUUAGAAGUAUUCAGUUUCAUAGCAUAAUCAAGUGUUUUUCAAUACUCUCUCUCUCACACACACACAAAAUGUCUUUAAUUUCUGUUUUUUUAAUGUAUUGGCCUCUGAAUGAUCUGCACGGCAUAUAUCUAUAUCGCUGAAUGACCUCGACUUGUACCUUUGUGGUUUGCAAACACUAAAACAUGUGUUGCUACAGAGUUAUCUUAAUUUUAACGUUGAUCGGUGCAGGUGGGUUCUCAUGGUAGGAUUUGAUCCACUCGGAUAUCAAUGUCCUUGUCGGAGUUUGGGUACUGCACUUUAUAAUGCAAAGGAAUGGUAUAAACUAUAGCUGGUUCUUUCAUGUAGUAUGCCUUUUUCUAUAAUGUAAGUUAUGGAUGCGGUACUUCUUCGAAACCUUCAUAAUGCUUUUUGUCAUGCAACAACUUGCUAACAAGUCCUGGUCUGUUGCAGUUGAUUGCACAUGUGGAGGGCUUCUGGAUGCAUUUAUUGUCUCAUGUCACAAGGAUUUACAACUUUUACGAGAAUGCGGGUGUAGAGUAUUGAUAAUUCCAGAUGGCUCACUUCCUACAAUAGAGCACCCUACAGUACUAUCAAUUAUUCAGUCAGAGAACCACACUAUGCUGAAUAUAUUGGUGGAUCAGGUACAUCGAUAAGCACCCAAUGUUCAGUCAGAUGAAGAGAGUGAAAAUAUAUUGGUGGAUCAGGUACAUUGACAAGCACCCAAUGUUCAGUCAGAUGAAGAGAGUGAAAACAGCGUUUACUCUGAAUUUUCAGACAGAGUGGCGAUGCAGCUGGAAGUUUGAGGCACUGGAUUCCCCCUGACGGAGGAACAAUCAAGUUAAAUUUAGAUGCUUCAUUCUUUGCUGAGACUUGGAGGAGCUAU